GGCCUGAUGGCCGAGUGGUUAGCUCUCUGGCUCUCGCCCAUGGAUGUUUGUAGUGGUUCGGAAUCCACUUUAAGCCG